rnacentral:lncRNA from 1 species
GGAGAUGUAAGGAACAUUGACUCAUUGGGAAGCAAUGGCACAAGCCUGUAAUUUCAGCUACUCCAGAAGCUGAAGCAGAAGGAUCACAGGUUCAAGGCCAGCCUCAUCAACUUAGGGCCCUGUCUAAAUAAAUAAAUAAAUAAAUGGACUGGAAAUAUAGCUCAGUGGUAAAGGCUUCAUUCCCCAUUACUGUCCUCCCUCCCAAAAUAAAGGAUCGAUGACUCAGAGCUUGGAGGUCAUAGAGCCAGAGCUGACCUGAAGCAUCUCUUGCUUCUCAUACCUCAUGAUCAUUUUCUCCUGUCUCUGUGUCCAUCUCCAUCAGUUUGGGAGACUUGUCUUGACCCUGUCCCUCAUUCGAGAGGCCUCAGGAACAACACUUGUCUUUUAUGUGCCUUAAUUUAACUCCGAGUUAAUCGAGUGCCCCCAGCCUGGAGUGGUUGGUGUCCCAAGUGCAGUUUCAAAAGCGCUUUGAUAUGAAGUGCCUCACAAGAGGUUGCUCUUCUGUUUCCAGCAAAUCAUUCCCAUGAAGAAAAUUAAGUGGAAGCCCUGGGAGUGAACAAGUGCACUGCCUGUUGGCCACUGGCAUUUAGAUCGAAGGAGCUUGUCACACUUAGGAGAUUGAUCCAGUUUGGGCUUUUGCCUUGGUAGGCUUAGCUUUUGCAUAGCAGGUGUUCGCUCUGGCCCAAGGCCCUGGAUUUAAAUCAGAACUUGACAAAUGAGUCAAUGGCGUUUUCAAACUCUCCACUCACAACAGGAAGGCAAGAAAUGGAAAGAAUGUCAGCUAUUAAGGUUCACAGUGGCUCCUGGAAUCCCAAUGGCCCUUCAGAAGAACACUUGGGAAGGAAGCAUUUGAAUUGCCUGGCUUUCCUAAGAACUUGCCCUCUGUUUGUGGAUUCACUGAGGGUGGCAAGUGCAUGAGCAC